CUUUAUAUAUGCGACAUUUUAUCCUCAUAAAACUUGGCUUCUCAUCUCCUUUAUGAUCUCCUCCUUCAUUUCCACUUUCUAUUUCUCUGUGACCAGAUCGAGUUUUGAAGGAUGAGUAAUCAUGAUCAAAACCAUGCUCAAGUACCAUAUCCUUCAAGUUCUCCAAAUCCUUAUGUGGCUCCACCACCAGCAAAUUAUGCUGUGAAAAAUGGUAAUUCUGCUCCUUCUCCUACAAUUCAGACUACGUCCAAGGGUGGUGGGUUUUGGAGGGGAUUUUGUGCCGGCCUGUGUUGCCACUGUUGUUUGGAUGCUUGCUUUUGAGGGUUAAAUAAAUAUACUAUCAUAAUUCCAGAGGCUUGAGUUCCUGCUCUUGUGUGUAUAUAUAUAUAUAGAGUCAUGUAUACAUGUACCAUAAAAUAAAUAAACUUUGAUUCCUCAAAUUAGUAUUCAAAAUACUUUUUUUGUCCAUUUAUAUCUGUUGCAUU